UUGACCCUGAAUCAAGACCAAUAGUUUUUUGGACCCAUUAGUUUCAAACAGGAGCCUAAAAAUGUCAAUUUAUGGUCUUUUGGACAUUUUAGAAUGUUAUAGAGAAUGGUCAGUUCAUUAGGAAGAAGCAGUU